rnacentral:rRNA from 1 species
AACGAACGCUGGCGGCAGGCCUAAAACAUGCAAGUCGAACGAUUGCAGCAAUGCAGUAGUGGCGCACGGGUGAGUAACAUGUGGGAAUAUGCCUUUUGGUACGGAACAACUUUUGGAAACGAAAGCUAAUACCGUAUGGUCCCUUCGGGGUAAAGAUUUAUCGCCAAAAGAGUAGCCCGCACUGGAUUAGCUAGUUGGUAAGGUAAUGGCUUACCAAGGCGACGAUCCAUAGCUGGUCUGAGAGGACGAUCAGCCACACUGGGACUGAGACACGGCCCAGACUCCUACGGGAGGCUG